CUACGGGCGGCUCCAGUAGGGAAUAUUGGUUAAUGGGCGAAAGCUUGAACCAGCAACGCCGCGUGCGCGAUGAAGGCCUUCGGGCUGUAAAGCGCUUUUUGAGGGGAUGAGAAAGGACAGUACCCUCAGAAUAAGUCUCGGCUAACUACGUGCCAGCAGCCGCGGUAAAACGUAGGAGGCGAGCGUUAUCCGGAUUUACUGGGCGUAAAGCGCGUGCAGGCGGUUCGGUAAGUUGGAUGUGAAAGCUCCUGGCUAGACUGGGAGAGGUCGUUCAAUACUGCCGGGCUAGAGGAUGGGAGAGGGAGGUGGAAUUCCGGGUGUAGUGGUGAAAUGCGUAGAUAUCCGGAGGAACACCAGUGGCGAAGGCGGCCUCCUGGCCCAUAUCUGACGCUCAGACGCGAAAGCUAGGGUAGCAAACGGGAUUAGAUACCCAGUAGUC
rnacentral:rRNA from 1 species